UACGAAGGGGGCUAGCGUUGCUCGGAAUUACUGGGCGUAAAGCGUGCGCAGGCGGUUCGCUAAGACAGAUGUGAAAUCCCCGGGCUUAACCUGGGAACUGCAUUUGUGACUGGCGGGCUAGAGUAUGGCAGAGGGGGGGUAGAAUUCCACGUGUAGCAGUGAAAUGCGUAGAGAUGUGGAGGAAUACCGAUGGCGAAGGCAGCCCCCCUGGGCCAAUACUGACGCCUCAUGCACGAAAGCGUGGGGAGCAAACAGG
rnacentral:rRNA from 1 species